UACGUAGGUGGCAAGCGUUAUCCGGAUUUACUGGGUGUAAAGGGAGCGUAGACGGCAUGGCAAGCCAGAUGUGAAAUACCGGGGCUCAACCCCGGGACUGCAUUUGGAACUGUUAAGCUGGAGUGUCGGAGAGGCAGGCGGAAUUCCUAGUGUAGCGGUGAAAUGCGUAGAUAUUAGGAGGAACACCAGUGGCGAAGGCGGCCUGCUGGACGAUAACUGACGUUGAGGCUCGAAAGCGUGGGGAGCAAACAGG
rnacentral:rRNA from 1 species